AGAUUGGACGCUGGCGGCAGGCCUAACACAUGCAAGUCGAGCGGCAUCACGGGUACUUGUACCUGGUGGCGAGCGGCGGACGGGUGAGUAAUGCCUAGGAAUCUGCCUGGUAGUGGGGGAUAACGCUCGGAAACGGACGCUAAUACCGCAUACGUCCUACGGGAGAAAGCAGGGGACCUUCGGGCCUUGCGCUAUCAGAUGAGCCUAGGUCGGAUUAGCUAGUUGGUGAGGUAAUGGCUCACCAAGGCGACGAUCCGUAACUGGUCUGAGAGGAUGGUCAGUCACACUGGAACUGAGACACGGUCCAGACUCCUACGGGAGCAGCAGUGGGGAAUAGUUGGACAAGUGGGACGAAAGCCUGAUCCAGCCAUGCCGCGUGUGUAGAA
rnacentral:rRNA from 1 species